rnacentral:rRNA from 1 species
AGUCGAGCGGGGAGAGGUAGCUUGCUACCUGACCUAGCGGCGGACGGGUGAGUAAUGCUUAGGAAUCUGCCUAUUAGUGGGGGACAACAUUCCGAAAGGAAUGCUAAUACCGCAUACGCCCUACGGGGGAAAGCAGGGGAUCUUCGGACCUUGCGCUAAUAGAUGAGCCUAAGUCAGAUUAGCUAGUUGGUGGGGUAAAGGCCUACCAAGGCGACGAUCUGUAGCGGGUCUGAGAGGAUGAUCCGCCACACUGGGACUGAGACACGGCCCAGACUCCUACGGGAGGCAGCAGUGGGGAAUAUUGGACAAUGGGCGAAAGCCUGAUCCAGCCAUGCCGCGUGUGUGAAGAAGGCCUUUUGGUUGUAAAGCACUUUAAGCGAGGAGGAGGCUACUUGGAUUAAUACUCUAGGAUAGUGGACGUUACUCGCAGAAUAAGCACCGGCUAACUCUGUGCCAGCAGCCGCGGUAAUACAGAGGGUGCGAGCGUUAAUCGGAUUUACUGGGCGUAAAGCGUGCGUAGGCGGCUUCUUAAGUCGGAUGUGAAAUCCCUGAGCUUAACUUAGGAAUUGCAUUCGAUACUGGGAAGCUAGAGUAUGGGAGAGGAUG